ACUAUACUGACCAUUCAGAUAACAGAAUUUUAAUGGCAGUGGGACUAUUAAAAUUAUUUUACCUUCUUCAAUCAUCAACAAAGAAAGCAGUCAAAAUAUUGAAAUUCAUUGCUGAAUACUUAUAUCGCAGUUGCUCGGGAGCCCUAGAAGAAAGGUUCACAAAGCAAUGGGGGGACGAAUUCAUCAGCAGCAGAUUGAGGGUAGCCUUCUUUGUUGUCGGACCUGUAUGUAUACGAGAGCUGUAGGUAAACUGAGAUGUGCACAAUCAAAACUAUCACGUGCAACUGUUGGAGUGACAACACCAGAAGAUACGAAGUAUAUCUGGUUGGCGGGUUUCCUAUUCAUAUUUUACAAGAGCGGAACCAGAGAAGAUACGAAGUAAUCCAUCUUUUCCCUCCACAAAGAAUUAUAGAAGUUCAUUGGUGUAAGCCUGAAUCGGGAUGGACCAAGCUUAAUAUUGAUGGUUGUUCUCUAGGGAAUUCGGGCAUUGCUUGUGCAGGUUACAAAUAGAGAGGGAGAGUGAUAUUCAAAACGUAGGGAUUGAAACGGGUUCCCAUGCAAUUGUUAUUUGUAUCUCGAAUCUAUCUAUCACAUGGAGAUUUCUUCAACAAUGGGAUCACCAUGCUGAGUUUCUUUCUUCCUUCUCUUGGAAGAUAUCACAUUGCUUUAGGGAAGUAAAUUCAGCUUCUGAUUUGCUAGCAAAGAAAUAAGUAGAAAAUCAAGUCUCAGUUAACUAACCGCGGCACCUCCUAUUUAUUAGUCAUGAAAUCAGUUGGGAUGCCCAGGAUAGGCACCACUUUCAUUUUGAUGAUUGAUGGAUUAUUUUAGGAAGUUUGCCUAUUAGUUUCUUUCUAAGAUUUUAUGGCCAUGCCAAAGGUGGAUCCUUAGCUAGAUGGCUAUGCCAAAAGUGAAGUCUCAAGAUCUAUUCUCUGUAAUUUUUUUUCAUCUGGGUAUGCCUAGACGUUAUCCAUGUACAUUCAUUUUUUUUUUUAAUAUAUUAUUUUUCUGAUU